GGAAGGUGGGGAUGACGUCAAGUCCUCAUGGCCCUUAUGGGUAGGGCUUCACACGUCAUACAAUGGUCGGUACAGAGGGUUGCCAACCCGCGAGGGGGAGCUAAUCCCACAAAGCCGAUCGUAGCCCGGAUCGCAGUCUGCAACUCGACUGCGUGAAGUCGGAAUCGCUAGUAAUCGUGGAUCAGCAUGUCACGGUGAAUACGUUCCCGGGUCUU
rnacentral:rRNA from 1 species